rnacentral:rRNA from 1 species
GCCAUGUGGAGUCAUUGUAGCAAUACAAGGCAUACGGCUCAGUAACACGCUAGNNNAAUCUAACCUAUGGACGUGGAUAACCUCGGGAAACUGACCAAUAAUCCGCGAUAGAUCAUAAUUCCUGGAACGGUUUAUGGUCCAAAUGAUUCGUCGCCAUAGGAUGGGACUGCGGCCUAUCAGCUUGUUGGUGAGGUAAUGGCUCACCAAGGNUAUUACAGGUACGGGCUCUGAGAGGAGAAGCCCGGAGAUGGGUACUGAGACACGGACCCAGGCCCUAUGGGGCGCAGCAGGCGAGAAACCUUUGCAAUGUGCGCAAGCACGACAAGGUUAAUCCGAGUGUUUCCUGCUAAAGGAAUCUUUUGUUAGUUCUAAAACCACUGAUGAAUAAGAGGUGGGCAAGUUCUGGUGUCAGCCGCCGCGGUAAAACCAGCACCUCAAGUGGUCAGGAGGAUUAUUGGGCCUAAAGCAUCCGUAGCCGGUUCUGUAAGUUUUCGGUUAAAUCCACUAGCUUAACUAAUGGGCUGCCGAAAAUACUGCAGAACUAGGGAGUGGGAGAGGUAGACGGUACUCGGUAGGAAGGGGUAAAAUCCUUUGAUCUAUUGAUGACCACCUGUGGCGAAGGCNGUCUACCAGGACACGUUCGACGGUGAGGGGAUGAAAGCUGGGGGAGCAAACCNGGAUUAGAUACCCGGGUAGUUCCCAGCUGNUAAACGAUGCAANACUCGGUGAUGCANUGGCUUGUGGCCAGUG